rnacentral:lncRNA from 1 species
AUAAGGUUGUAAACCUUGCCUUGAAUAGGAGGUCUUCCUUGAUUCUGGUUCCUUGGGCACUCUCUCGCAUAGUGUUGGGCACUACUAUAUAUGCGACAAGUGUUGUUGAGGUGGCAACAUGGUCGGUCCUCGUGAUCCUUGCCACAGUGCUGACAGAUCUUACCACGUGUUGCCCUUGGAGCCUAAGGGAGAGCCUGGAUCACCAGUCUGGGCCUCUUAUUUUGUUGGACAGGCGCAGUAAGUGUUGGUCUGCAGGGUGGAGCUGAGGGUCUGUGACUCCUUGCUGACUGAGGAAGGGUGUUAAAUCUCCUCUCCACAAUCUGCGCCUUUACCAAAACGGCUGAGUAUGUCUUGAGCUCUAGUACAAAUAGGUGUUGCUUGAUCUCUGGGCGGAGGUCCUACUGGAACCUCCUAACCUUCCUGCCCUCAUCCAUCAAUGUCUCAGGGGAGUAUCGGCCCAGCUCUAGGAACUUACGAGCAUAUUCCGACAUCGUCAUGUUUCCCUACACUAGCUGGACAAACUCCAUCUCUUUUAAAUGUCGGAUGUGUUUGUGGAGGUACUCCGCAUGAAAGGCUGUUAAGAACUGCUCCCAAGUGACUGGUGCAGGCAGGGUGGUCUGCUUGAGCUCCCACCAAUGAUCUGUUUCCCCCAUAAGCAUGUAGGAAGCAAGGGUAACCCUCUGCUCGGGAACCAUUCCUAAAGUCUUAAAAGCCUUCUCUAUCUCCGCCAACCAGUACUGGGCAUCUUCAAAAGAGGAU